rnacentral:rRNA from 1 species
AUUGAACGCUAGCGGGAUGCUUUACACAUGCAAGUCGAACGGCAGCGCGGACUUCGGUCUGGCGGCGAGUGGCGAACGGGUGAGUAAUGUAUCGGAACGUGCCCAGUAGCGGGGGAUAACUACGCGAAAGCGUAGCUAAUACCGCAUACGCCCUACGGGGGAAAGCAGGGGAUCGUAAGACCUUGCACUAUUGGAGCGGCCGAUAUCGGAUUAGCUAGUUGGUGAGGUAACGGCUCACCAAGGCGACGAUCCGUAGCUGGUUUGAGAGGACGACCAGCCACACUGGGACUGAGACACGGCCCAGACUCCUACGGGAGGCAGCAGUGGGGAAUUUUGGACAAUGGGGGCAACCCUGAUCCAGCCAUCCCGCGUGUGCGAUGAAGGCCUUCGGGUUGUAAAGCACUCUUGGCAGGAAAGAAACGUCGCGGGCUAAUACCCCGUGGAACUGACGGUACCUGCAGAAUAAGCACCGGCUAACUACGUG